AUUCUUUCUGUAUUGGAAGGCAGUGGGGAGAGGCUCUACGGACUAGAGCUGGAGCCUAGGGGAAGAGCCAAGCGGGGGCUGAGUUGUUUGAUCCUGAAAAGAAAAGAAGAAAGAAUUUAUCCAGAAAGCGUGCCUAGGGCUUAUGAGGAGGCAAAGUGGUGAAUGAAGCCUCCCCUGAGAAACAAGUCCAACUGGCAGAGGCUUCCCAGCAUGGAGAUAUCUGGAAAAAAGGCCAGCUACCUGAGGAAGUCCAACUACCCUGAGACCACCAUGCUAUGAGGGUGCCCAAACCUGCCAGGUAGAGAGACCACAUGGAGAAGCACUGAGGUACCAGACAUGUGAGAAAAGAUGUCUUGGACCUUCCUUGCUUCCUUGGACCCAGCCCCAGCACCAACUGAACAUAGGGACAGCCAACAACCCAUGGAACAGAUUUGAACUAGUCAACUCCUGGAAACUUAAGAAACAAUAAAUUGUUGUUAUUUUAAGCCACUAA